CUGUUAAGUAAUGACGUGACAGACGGAAUAUCACAUCAUCACGUUUUGUCAUGGACACCCAAUUGUCAUAUCACCACCUUCAAUGACGUGUCCGUGAUUGAACAUGAUGACAUGACAUUUUGUUUGUUACGUCAUCAUUUAACGGAA
rfam:Glycine soja cultivar W05 scaffold1211_25, whole genome shotgun sequence.